rnacentral:rRNA from 1 species
GACAGAGGUGCCGAGCGUUAGGCGGAAUCACUGGGCUUAAAGCGUGUGUAGGCGGACUUCUAAGUACCUUGUGAAAUCCCACGGCUCAACCGUGGAACUGCUUGGUAUACUGGUCGUCUUGAGCCAUCUAGGGGCUGUCGGAACAAAUGGUGGAGCGGUGAAAUGCGUAGAGAUUGGAAAGAACACCGAUGGCGAAGGCACUUUACUGGGCUAUUACUAACACUGAGAGACGAAAGCUAGGGUAGCAAAUGGG